GAAUUGCGAUAUGUAAUGUGAAUUGCAGAAUUCAGUGAAUCAUCGAAUCUUUGAACGCACAUUGCACCCUCUGGUAUUCCAGAGGGUAUGCCUGUUUGAGUGUCAUUAAUAUCUCAACACAGACAAGUUUAUGACUUGCUCUGAUGCUUGGAUGUUGAGGGCUGCUGGCAAGACUUUUUGCCAGCUCCUUUUAAAUUGAUUAGCAGAAACCUAUGCAAAAAGCUGGCUUCAGUUUGAUAAGCACUUAUCUGUACUGCUGUUGCUAGUGAAAUGCUCUUGUUUCAGCUUCCAAUUGUCCAAAUGUUAUGGACUUGCCUCUCAAGGCAAUUCAAUCUUGACACUUGACCUCAAAUCAGGUAGGACUACCCGCUGAACUUAA
rnacentral:misc_RNA from 1 species